rnacentral:misc_RNA from 1 species
CCGAGUUCUUUACUCAUAACCCUUUGUGAACUAUUAUACCCUGUUGCUUCGGCGGCGCGUCUCCGGGCGUGCCCGCCGGUACAAUCAGUAUCUCUGUUUGAACCCGACGUUACAUCUGAGUGUUCUAAGCGAACUGUUA